CCACUGUAUGUUUUUGUAUCUGGAUGACUGUUUGACGAAGUGACACAGAUGCUGGACGCACACUGUGUUCGCAUCUGUCCUGGUUGACUGGAGACUGUGUCAUGCUGUCUCAUCUGUGAUGUAUUUUUUCACGACGGCACUUGGAAGCAGGAGCAUUGGAACAACCUGAAAAGAAUGUUAUUUGUGUGUGUGUGUGUGUGUGUGUGUGUGUGUGUGAGAUGGAUGUGGCAGGUGAGAGCCCUGGGGCCAGAUUCCACCUUACACCAGAAGAGAAACCGAGCUGUCGGAGACCUAAUUGUC